rnacentral:misc_RNA from 1 species
GUAUUUCAUUGCGUUAAACGCGACAUACAUUCCAUGAGACUUUGUUGUAGUGUGUGUGUAAAGACGCAGAGCCACAGCAGGGGGACAGAGCCCACCCAGGCCAUAGAACUACAGAGGGUGCACAGGUGUGAGUGGAUGUGUAAACAGAGCGUGCACGUGCCCCCCUUCGAGGGCCAGCAACAACUCGUGUCGACAAUUCGGUAAUGAUCCUUCCGCAGGUUCACCUACGGAAA